UACAGAGGGGGCAAGCGUUAUUCGGAAUUAUUGGGCGUAAAGGGCGCGUAGGCGGCUUGGCAAGUCGGGUGUGAAAACUCCAGGCUCAACCUGGAGACGCCACUCGAGACUGCUAUGGCUAGAGUCCGGUAGGGGACCACGGAAUUCCUGGUGUAGCGGUGAAAUGCGCAGAUAUCAGGAGGAACACCGGUGGCGAAGGCGGUGGUCUGGGCCGGCACUGACGCUGAGGAGCGAAAGCGUGGGGAGCAAACAGG
rnacentral:rRNA from 1 species